rnacentral:rRNA from 1 species
UACGAAGGGGGCUAGCGUUGUUCGGAAUCACUGGGCGUAAAGCGCACGUAGGCGGCUUUCUAAGUCAGGGGUGAAAUCCCGGAGCUCAACUCCGGAACUGCCUUUGAUACUCCCGCGCUUGAGAACUGGAGGGGAGACCGGAAUUCACGGUGGAGCAGUGAAAUGCGUGGAUAUCGUGAGGAACACUAGUGGCGAAGGCGGGUCUCUGGACAGUAUCUGACGCUGAGGCACGAAGGCCAGGGGAGCGAACGGG